rnacentral:rRNA from 1 species
GCGAUCCCUAGCUGGUCUGAGAGGAUGACCAGCCACACUGGGAAUUGAGACACGGGUCCAGACUCCUACGGGAGGCAGCAGUGGGGAAAUAUUGCACAAUGGGCGCAAGCCUGAUGCAGCCAUGCCGCGUGUAUGAAGAAGGCCUUCGGGUUGUAAAGUACUUUCAGCGGGGAGGAAGGCGAUGUGGUUAAUAACCGCGUCGAUUGACGUUACCCGCAGAAGAAGCACCGGCUAACUCCGUGCCAGCAGCCGCGGUAAUACGGAGGGCGCAAGCGUUAAUCGGAAUUACUGGGCGUAAAGCGCACGCAGGCGGUCUGUUAAGUCAGAUGUGAAAUCCCCGGGCUCAACCCGGGAACUGCAUUUGAAACUGGCAGGCUUGAGUCUCGUAGAGGGGGGUAGAAUUCCAGGUGUAGCGGUGAAAUGCGUAGAGAUCUGGAGGAAUACCGGUGGCGAAGGCGGCCCCCUGGACGAAGACUGACGCUCAGGUGCGAAAGCGUGGGGAGCAAACAGGAUUAGAUACCCUGGUAGUCCACGCCGUAAACGAUGUCGACUUGGAGGUUGUGCCCUUGAGGCGUGGCUUCCGGAGCUAACGCGUUAAGUCUACCGACCUGGGGAGUACGGGCC